AUAUAAUAGUAUAUAUCUGUAUAUAUGCAUAUACGCCUUGUAUAUUCCGAUUGCGUUGGGGACGAACAGUUCCGAGGAUCGUCAGGCCGUAUUGCCGGAAUUCGUCGCCGGAAUGACGUGUAUUUCGAUGCACAAAUCGCCUGAGUUCUCCGUCGGAGGACGGCGUGGAGAGGCCAUUGUGGAGAACGAUGAUGGCGGCAGUUCUUCGUCGUCCUCUUCGUCUAUUGGGAAGAACAGCGACGAGUCUGCAGUCGGUGGUGAUGCUGACGACGACGGUGCGGAAGUGCAGAGCUCGGCGGAAGAUGGUGCUCUCGGCAAUUCGGAGGACUUGGAGGAGACUUUGCCGUUGAAGAGAGGUCUAUCAAAAUUCUAUAUUGGUAAAUCCAAAUCUUUUACCAGACUAUCAGAUGUGUCUUCAUAUUCCUCUAUCAAAGAUAUUGUCAAGCCAGAGAAUGCAUACACAAGAAAACGCAAAAACGUGCUUGCUUUUAAUAAUUGCUUCGGCAUCAAUAGUAGUUACCAGCACAGUUGUGGGAUUUACAAGAAACCUACCAAUUCUACAAGCUCUCUUGCUGCAACUAUGAGCUGCCCUAUGGGCAAUACUAAAAGUGUGCCUUUCAACUCAAAUCCGUCGUUGCCUGGUUUCUCUCGUCCUCCUCUGCCUUCUCGAAUACAAAGAUCUAGGAACGAGUGCUCCUCAUCACCAUCCUCGUCUGAUCUGCAAGGUGAUGCAGCUCCAAUUCCUAGCAUAACCACCAUAAAGAAAUAGAUAAGAUACAUUAAGUGUAGCUUGAUUUUCUGUCAUCCUAUGAACCUUAUUUCAUAUAAAUGUUCAUGGUGGUGGGAAUAUAUUGUAAGCAGUUUUAGGCUUUCAAGAUGUCGCUGUUGCUCCCUUUGGUUAUUGCUCAAGGGCAUUUUCAAGAGGAGACCUGGUUACUGUUGUUGAAAGUCUUGUUACAAUAGUCUGACUCUUGGCCCCAUAAAGUUGGUGCUUUCUAUUAAACUCCCGGGAGGUUGACAGUUCUGUUUAAUUAUUCAACUCUUUUGGCGGCUUGGACUGUGUAUCAACUUGAUUUUACAAUGGUUGAGAUACUCAAGCUAUUGAAACUGAAAAGCAUUGUAAGCAGAAGUUACCUUUUCCAAAAAGACAGGAUGUGUUGCUCUGCUAAAAAGA